UGCGUAGGUGGUUUGAUAAGUUAGGUGUGAAAUUCCCGGGCUUAACCUGGGAACUGCGCCUAAUACUGUCUCACUCGAGUACUGUAGAGGGAUGUGGAAUUUCCGGUGUAGCGGUGAAAUGCGUAGAUAUCGGAAGGAACAUCAAUGGCGAAGGCGACUUCCUGGACAGAUACUGACACUGAGGCACGAAAGCGUGGGAGCAAACA
rnacentral:rRNA from 1 species